CAGAAUCCCAGAUGAGGAAAUCUGGGCUUGGUCUGCACUUACUCUGAGUUGUUCUUACAGUGAGGUCACACAAUGCAAGGGUCACCAAGGGAUUCGUUGGCAUCACUUCUUAGUACUCAGCGCCUCCUGAGAAGGGUCAGUGUCACUGUAGUUUUUGUCUUAUAGAAAACUUUCUCACUUGUAAUGUAGUUUACAAUUAUUUUAAGGGCUCUUAAUAAGUGAACUAGAUUUUCUUUGCUCCUAGGGAAAUGUAUAGAGUUCCUGCAUUGCUGCUGUGAGCUUUACAGGAACCUUGAAAAUGAAACCAAGCAGAAGUGGGGACAAAGGAAGCGUAUCUUGGAGGCAAAUGGAAAUUACUGUCCUGGAAACGGCUGCUCCGGUGUUUCUGCUGUCAAAAACUCUUGAUGUCCUCUAGAAAGAAAUGCAGGAUCAUAAGUGGACUGAUGUGUUCCAAAUUCCAGAUUUCCUGCCACCGGGUAUCUACUCCUUCCAGGGUUUUGAGCAUGGAAGCUUUUGUGGCUAUUUUUCCUUCUGCUGUGCCUUCAGCUAGCUGUUGGCCUGUGGUCUUGUGGGUAGACAGGGGAGCUUUCUCCUGCAGGAGUAGGUCCCACCCCAGGGUCCUCCACUCAUCAGACAUUUUGGAGCCCUCAAGUCCACCUGCCUGUCAACCAUCAUAAAGACUGAACCCAC
rnacentral:lncRNA from 1 species